GGGACAGAGAAGGGCAGGCAGUAGGCGUGAAGCUGUGAGCAGAGUAGAGAGCAACUUGGCGGAGCAGCAAGCAGAGUAGGCAAGUGCUGAGGUUUGGCGUGAGUAGCAGCAAAAGCCCAUAGCAUCAAGAAGCAGGAAGUGAGGAGAAGGUAAGUGAAGGGCAGGCAAGGUAAUGGGAAGCAAAGGCAAGGGGAAAGGGGAGGGUAAGGGAGAAAGAGGGAUGGGAAGGGGAGGGGAGGGGAUGGGUGAAGAGCAGAGCGGAGGGAAGGGCUGAGGGGAGGGCUGAAGGCAAACCAAUGAUGAAAAAAGAAAAGAAAAAAUAAGAACAAAAAAUAUGAAAUAAGAGAAAAAUAAAAAGAAAAAUAAGAAAAAGAGAAAAAAUGAAAAGAAAAAAAGAAAAAAUGAACGAAAAAGAUAAAAUAGAGAAAAGAAAAAAGGAAAUGAACAAAAAAGAGAAAAAAGAGAAAAGAAAAAAAAUGAACAAAAAAGAGAAAAAAGAGAAAAGAAAAAAAAUGAACAAAAAAGAGAAAAAAGAGAAAAGAAAAAAAAAUGAACAAAAAAGAGAAAAAAGAGAAAAGAAAAAAAAAAAAAAAAAAAAAAAAAAAAAAGAAAAAAAAAAAAUGAAAAAAAAGAAAAAAAGAAAAGAAAAAAAUGAACAAAAAA
ensembl:lncRNA